rnacentral:rRNA from 1 species
AUACGGAGGGUGCAAGCGUUAAUCGGAAUUACUGGGCGUAAAGCGCGCGUAGGCGGUUAAGUAAGUCGGAUGUGAAAGCCCCGGGCUCAACCUGGGAAUUGCAUUCGAUACUGCUUGACUAGAGUAUGGUAGAGGGAAGUGGAAUUUCCGGUGUAGCGGUGAAAUGCGUAGAUAUCGGAAGGAACAUCAGUGGCGAAGGCGACUUCCUGGGCCAAUACUGACGCUGAGGUGCGAAAGCGUGGGGAGCAAACAGGAUUAGAUACCCCAGUAGUCC